CAUAACUCCCCCCAAACCCCCCCACAUCGCCCCAUAAACCGCCCCAUAAUCUCCCACAGCCUCUCUCAUCCCCCGAUUUUCCCUUUUAUUCCCCGCUUUUUCCCUUUUUCUCCUUAUUUUUACCCAUUUCUCACCUCCCUCAGCGCUCCCUCAGCGCCCGCCGCCUCCUCAGCUCCUCACGUCGCCCUCUCAUUGGUCGCUUCCCCCGUCCGUCCCGCCUGACAGCCAAUCAGCGCCCGAGUCGGGCCUCAGAGGGCGGGACAGCGCUUCUCCUCGCCCAUUGGUCUAGGCACACGUCCGUUUUAACUUUCAGCCAGUCAGCGCUCGAGUCCGUGUUUAGAAGGCGGGGCGCAUUCGCAGCCUGCAGGAGGGCGUAACGCACCGCGCCUUUCUAUUGGCUGUUCGCCUCGUCCAUCCCCUCCUCACAACCAAUCAGCGCCGGCAUCGCCACCAAGAAGGUGGAGAUUCCCCUUUUAACCAUCCCGCCACGCUCUACGCCCCCUCUAUUGGCUGCGCCCCGCGUCCAUCACUCCUCACAGCCAAUCAACGCCCGGAUCGCCCCUCGGAGGGCGGGGCGCGGGCGCCAUGUUGGGGCGGGCGCCAUUUUGGCGGCGACCCCCUCAGGGGUUCGAUGGACGCGGUAUGGGGCGGUGUGGGGCGAUGUGGGGCGGUGUGGGGCGGUGUGGGGCUCGGGACCCCCCCGUCCUCCGGUGCUUCUGUCCCGCAGGGGCUGCAGGAACGAGCGGCGGCGCUGCUGAGGAGGAGUGAAGCCGUGCUGAAGCAGCGCCCACAGACGCCCCGGACCCACACAGCCCCGCCCCCUAGUGGGCGUGGCCAGGAGCGUUGUGGGCGGAGCCUGGAGGAGGACCCACUGCAGCGCUGGAGGGCGGAAAGGAGGCGGGGCUUGGCGGAAGCCCCGCCCCUUGUGACGUCAGCGUGGAAGCGGAGCCAAUCCCUGGAGGCGGUGCGGGGGGCGGAGCCACGGCCCCGAAGGAACCAAUCCCAUGAGGACCUCUCGCCAUCGCCGUGGGGCAGCGCCGUGGGGCAGGAGGCAGCUGCCAUCGAACUGCUGCAGGAAGCACUGGAUUCGGACGAGGCGGAAGCGCCUGGGGAUGCGGUGCUGCGGGCGCUGCGGGAUCGACGGCGGGCGCUGCGGGGGAUGCUGAGAGCCGUGGAGACGCUGUUGGCCACCUCCGGACCCGAAGUUUUGGGACCACAGUAAAAGUUCUGCACCGUUUUGCCGCAUUUCUCCGUUUUUCACCCCAAAAUCCCCCAGAAUGGCGUCGGUCCCUCCGGACUACAAUUCCCAUCUGCCCCUGCGCGCUAAGCCACGCCCCGAAUGCUGCUGUCCAAUCACACUUCGGCUUAUAGCCACGCCCCCAAGCUACUGGCCAAUAAUACUUAGUUUUAGUCUCGCCCUGACACGCUGUCCACUGGCAUUUCCGGUUUAAGCCACGCCCCCAAAUAAUGCCCAACUACACUUCCUCUUUAGGCCACGCCUCCGCGCUUUUGUCCAAUCAGACUUCCGCUGCCAGCGACGCGCCAAACCUGCAAUGCAACGUUACUUCCGCUUUAAGCCACGCCCCCUGGGCUACAUCUCAUACUUCCGCUUUAAGCCCCGCCUCCAGACCCUACAGGUAGCGCACUUCCGCUCCAAGCCACGCCCCCUGCGUUUCAUCCCUCCCACUUCCGUUUCCCCAGCCCAACAUCUCCCCCACUUCCGCUGCAAGCCCCGCCCCCCCAGCCUACACUUCCCAUCAGCCCCCUCGCCGCCGCCGCCAUUUUGUCUCCUCCCCGCCUUCCCGCCCGCCGCCAUCUUGUCCCCGCCCCUUUCCCUCUCAUCCCCUCAUGGUGCCGCGAUGGCGGCGGUGGAGGCGGAGCUGCAGCGUUGGGCCCGGCACGAAAUGGGGCUCCCGGACGGUCCCGCACC
rnacentral:lncRNA from 1 species